GGAGGGUGCGAGCGUUGUCCGGAAUCACUGGGCGUAAAGGGCGCGUAGGCGGCCCGUUAAGUGGCUGGUGAAAUCCCGGGGCUCAACUCCGGGGCUGCCGGUCAGACUGGCGGGCUCGAGCACGGUAGAGGCGGAUGGAAUUCCCGGUGUAGCGGUGGAAUGCGUAGAUAUCGGGAAGAAUACCGGUGGCGAAGGCGUUCCGCUGGGCCGUUGCUGACGCUGAGGCGCGACAGCGUGGGGAGCAAACAGGAUUAGAUACCCUGGUAGUCCACGCCGUAAACGAUGGGCACUAGGCGUCGGGGGGAGCGACCCUCCCGGUGCCGUCGCUAACGCAGUAAGUGCCCCGCCUGGGGAGUACGGCCGCAAGGCUG
rnacentral:rRNA from 1 species